UACGGAAGGCAGCAGUGGGGAAUAUUGCACAAUGGGCGCAAGCCUGAUGCAGCCAUGCCGCGUGUAUGAAGAAGGCCUUCGGGUUGUAAAGUACUUUCAGCGGGGAGGAAGGCGAUGUGGUUAAUAACCGCGUCGAUUGACGUUACCCGCAGAAGAAGCACCGGCUAACUCCGUGCCAGCAGCCGCGGUAAUACGGAGGGUGCAAGCGUUAAUCGGAAUUACUGGGCGUAAAGCGCACGCAGGCGGUCUGUUAAGUCAGAUGUGAAAUCCCCGGGCUUAACCUGGGAACUGCAUUUUGAAACUGGCAGGCUUGAGUCUCGUAGAGGGGGUAGAAUUCCAGGUGUAGCGGUGAAAUGCGUAGAGAUCUGGAGGAAUACCGGUGGCGAAGGCGGCCCCUGGGACGAAGACUGACGCUCAGGGU
rnacentral:rRNA from 1 species